UGUGAUUUUACCGGUUUUAUCAGUAUUUAAGAGGUUUUACUUUUCAAAUUUUCUUAUUCUAUCACCUACCUCUUCUGUUAGUGUUAUCUUUAAUUUUUCUUCCUCUAUUCAACGAUNACCUCUUCUUCUGUAUUCUCUUUUCUUUUCUUUUACCGUUUUCUUUUUCUAAUUUUUUUAUUUUUAAUUUACUUUUUCAGAUGGCCGAUCGAAUGGAACAUCUUUACUUCGAAGCUUCGAUGAUUCAUAUGCAAUCAUUCCGAC
rnacentral:lncRNA from 1 species